UACGUAUGGUGCAAGCGUUAUCCGGAUUUACUGGGUGUAAAGGGAGCGCAGGCGGCACGGCAAGCCUGAUGUGAAAGCCCGCGGCCCAACCGCGGGACUGCAUUGGGAACUACCGGGCUGGAGUGCCGGAGAGGUAGGCGGAAUUCCUAGUGUAGCGGUGAAAUGCGUAGAUAUUAGGAGGAACACCAGUGGCGAAGGCGGCCUGCUGGACUACAACUGACGUUGAGGCUCGAAGGCGUGGGGAGCAAACAGG
rnacentral:rRNA from 1 species